rnacentral:rRNA from 1 species
GUGAACGCUGGCGGUAGGCCUAACACAUGCAAGUCGAACGGCAGCACAGUAAGAGCUUGCUCUUACGGGUGGCGAGUGGCGGACGGGUGAGGAAUACAUCGGAAUCUACUUUUUCGUGGGGGAUAACGUAGGGAAACUUACGCUAAUACCGCAUACGACCUACGGGUGAAAGCAGGGGAUCUUCGGACCUUGCGCGAUUGAAUGAGCCGAUGUCGGAUUAGCUAGUUGGCGGGGUAAAGGCCCACCAAGGCGACGAUCCGUAGCUGGUCUGAGAGGAUGAUCAGCCACACUGGAACUGAGACACGGUCCAGACUCCUACGGGAGGCAGCAGUGGGGAAUAUUGGACAAUGGGCGCAAGCCUGAUCCAGCCAUACCGCGUGGGUGAAGAAGGCCUUCGGGUUGAAAAGCCCUUUUGUUGGGAAAGAAAAGCAGCAGGUUAAUACCCCGCUGUUCUGACGGUACCCAAAGAAUAAGCACCGGCUAACUUCGUG